rnacentral:tRNA from 1 species
CGAUCCUUCCGUCCCA